AGAAUACUCUGCUCUCCUACAUUCUUUCUCUUUUUUUUUCUAUUAUUCUAAAGCUCUGACUAAUUUAGGCAUCGAAAGAUCCCCCAUUGAAACACCUCUCGAUGAGUGCAAACUUUUUUUGUAGGUUUCUUUUGAUAUUUUGGAUCCCAAAUAACGUCCAGCUCUAGUCACAUCAGUACCCUUCUAAAGUCUUGCGGCAAUAAAUUGGUGCUAGACUGAGGGACCCAAUCUUUUUUUGAGAGAAAAGAGAGCAUAGUGUGAAUGAGAACAUACAACUCCACUACCUUUCUUUGACAAUUCAUCCAUCGCAGCCAGAGUAGUGUUGCCCAUGGGUCCGUCGUGAUGCAACACCUAAUCAUAUUAGACUCACCGCUGCUCCAUGCCCUAGCUUAUCAAAUCCAGACAC
rnacentral:lncRNA from 1 species